UGCUUCCUGUGUCUGCCUGUUAGA
rnacentral:ncRNA from 2 species